rnacentral:tRNA from 1 species
GGUAGUAGCUCAGUUGGUAGAGCAUCAGCUUCCCAAGCUGAGGGUCACGGGUUCGAGCCCCGCUUACC